rnacentral:rRNA from 1 species
GUUAGUUUUAGUGGGCAUUCGGUGGAUGCCUUGGCACUCAGAGCUGAUGAAGGACGUGGCGGUCUGCGAUAUGCCUUAGGGAGUUGACGAGCGAGCGUUGAUCUAAGGAUUUCCGAAUGGGGGAACCUAGCUGGUGUUAUGGCCAGUUACCAUCACUUGAAUGAAAUAGGGUGGUGGGGGGAACGCGGGGAAGUGAAACAUCUCAGUACCCGUAGGAGAAGAUAUUCCGUGAGUAGUGGCGAGCGAAAGCGGAGGAGGCUAAACCUUGUGCGUGUGAUAGGCGGCGGCCGUUGCGCAUGGGGUGUUGUGGGGCAUGAUCGUUCGCCUUCUGCCGGGGGUGGGCAUGGUGUGUUGUUGGUGGUUGAACCUCUUGGGAUGGGGGACCGUAGUGCGUGAUAGUCGUGUAGGCCAGCCGGUGACAUGUUGUGUGGGUUGUGUUCCCGAGUAGUGCGGGACUCGUGAAAUCUCGUGUGAAUCUGCCAGGACCACCUGGUAAGCCUAAAUACUACUGAGUGACCGAUAGUGCAUAGUACCGUGAGGGAAUGGUGAAAAGUACCCCGGGAGGGGAGUGAAAUAGUACCUGAAACCGGAUGCUUUUAAGCCGUCAGAGCCUUGUGGGGUGAUGGCGUGCCUUUUGAAGAAUGAGCCUGCGAGUCAGUGGCAUGUGGCGUGCUUAACCCGUGUGGGGUAUGCGUAGCGAAAGCGAGUCUGAAAUAUGGCGUUUGUCGCGUGUUCUGGACCCGAAGCGGGGUGAUCUACCCAUGGCCAGGUUGAAGCAAGGGUAAGACUUUGUGGAGGACCGAACCCACCAGGGUUGAAAACCUGGGGGAUGAGCUGUGGGUAGGGGUGAAAGGCCAAUCAAACUCCGUGAUAGCUGGUUCUCCCCGAAAUGCAUUUAGGUGCAGCGUUGUGUGGUUCCUGUUGGAGGUAGAGCUACUGGAUGGCCGAUGGGCCCUGUGGGUUACUGACGUCAGCCAAACUCCGAAUGCCAAUAGGGUUGAGCAUGGCAGUGAGACUGCGGGGGAUAAGCUUCGUAGUCGAGAGGGAAACAGCCCAGAUCAUCAGCUAAGGCCCCUAAGUGUGCGCUAAGUGGGAAAGGAUGUGGAGUCGCGGUGACAACCAGGAGGUUGGCUUAGAAGCAGCCAUCCUUGAAAGAGUGCGUAAUAGCUCACUGGUCAAGUGAUUUCGCGCCGACAAUGUAGCGGGGCUUAAGCGUACCGCCGAAGCUGUGGCAGCAACACGUAUGCUGGCGUCAUUGAAUGAUUGUUGGUGUGUUGUUGGGUAGGGGAGCGUCCUGCAUGAGGUGAAGCCUGGGGGGAACCUCUGGUGGAUUGUGUGGGAGUGAGAAUGCAGGCAUGAGUAGCGAAUCUGCGGUGAGAAUCCGCAGCGCCGAUUGACUAAGGGUUCCAGGGCUAGGUUUAUCCGCCCUGGGUUAGUCGGGUCCUAAGGCGAGGCCGACAGGCGUAGUCGAUGGAUAACCAGUUGAUAUUCUGGUACCGCCUAGCAACCGUCCAAUACCGAGAUCAUCAUGCUAACCAAUUUUGCCGACCAAUGAUCAUGCCCCUCGGGGUGUGAUUGGCGGUUGGUCUUGGGACCCGGUGGUGGAGGUAAGCGUAUUAACAGGGGUGACGCAGAAAGGUAGCUGCAGUGCGCCGGUGGUUUGGCGUAUUUAAGGUUGUGGCCCGUCUUCUAGGUAAAUCCGGGAGACACUAGGGUGAGAACUGAUGAGGGACGCACGUGUGUGUGGACUUGUGGUGAUCCUAUGCUGCCGAGAAAAGCCUCGACGCGAGGGGGCAAGGCGCCCGUACCCUAAACCGACUCAGGUGGUCAGGUAGAGUAUACCGAGGCGUUCGAGUGAAUCAUGGUCAAGGAACUCGGCAAAAUUCCUCCGUAACUUCGGGAUAAGGAGGACCCCUUGACUUUCCCGCGCCACGCGUGCGGGUGGGGUUGGGGGGUCGCAGAGAAUAGGGAGAAGCGACUGUUUAUCAAAAACACAGGUGCGUGCGAAGCCGUAAGGCGAUGUAUACGCACUGACGCCUGCCCGGUGCUGGAAGGUUAAGAGGAACCGUCAACAUCCCUUGUGGGUGUGAAGCGGUGAAUUUAAGCCCCAGUAAACGGCGGUGGUAACUAUAACCAUCCUAAGGUAGCGAAAUUCCUUGUCGGGUAAGUUCCGACCUGCACGAAUGGCGUAACGACUUCUCCGCUGUCUCGACCGUGAACUCGGCGAAAUUGCAGUACGAGUAAAGAUGCUCGUUUCGCGCAGAAGGACGGAAAGACCCCGGGACCUUUACUAUAGCUUGGUAUUGG